UGCAUUCAGAAAGGCUUUGGUCGAGCUCAAGGGCGGUCGUGUUUCCCGUCUCGUCCGUGUCUCUUGGCUUCAGAUAAAGGUCUCUUCUCAGCCAGCUCUUUCUCUUACCUGCUUCCAAUUUCAAUAUUUUUGGUGACAAGGCGACACCGACUACCCAGCUAGCGGUCGCUCCACCCGGCUCUUCUCCACCCAGCGCGCAGCUACUCUUCAUUUCGCCCCUCUGUGCCACAAGCCGCCGUCCAUAGAGUAAACCUUUAAGAUGUAACACGGCCUCAGCUUUCACAGAUUACUCGGUUCCGAAUGAAUUUUUCAUUGGUCGGUUUCGUUGUUUGACAGUAAUAAUGACUGCCUCACUGAGGUCCUGGGUUCAAUUCCCAAGUCGGGUUCUCCCGAAGUCCAGAGCAAUGCUCGGCGGGAUGUAUUCCAGUCCGAUGCGCUCGUAACAUGAACCUGAUGGUCAUGUUACUUAUAAUUACAGUCAGAUAACCACUUUGCUGUAUUUAUUUAUUUACCACUCCAUCCGGUAGAUAAAUAAAUGUUUGCUUAAUAAACCGUCUGGUACACUUGUUUAAUUAUCUUUCUAUGUGAUCGAUAAAUAAGUGAGUUACCAAUGCAAUGAAGAAGUCAUUGAAGUUGAAACGAGUAAUCUGUGACAGCUGUACGUGCCGGUUCCCCAUGCGACGUAUGCUCUUUAUGCGACAUGUGAUUCGAACAGCUCCCAACUUUAACAGCUCAUAUAUAAUAUGGCCUGUUAAGGUUACCAUUACAUCAACUUGGUUAUUAUUAUAUUACUUCUGGUUACCCAGUAGUUAGACUAUUGGGUCUCGGGCAGUACUAGCUUAAUAACUUUACCUACCUAUCAACCUGACAUAAGCUUCUUAAUAGAUUUCGGUUCUUAAAGACUUUAGAAUUAAGUAUUUUUAUAAGAAAAGUUUAUGACACUGAUUAAAUAUGAAGAAGUUAUUUAAGUAAGAUAUUAUAUAUUUUUGUAAAAAAAUGACAAAAUGUUGGUGUUUUGUUACAUGUUAGGUAUUAUGUCUCUAAUGUGGUCUGAGGUAAGAUAAUUCGUACGUAGUAUCUGUGCGGUUAUUACCUUUUAGGUUUACAAAUAUUACAUCAUCUAAACACAUUCAACAAAAAUUAGAUAGUAAGAAUUUAGUAUGUAAGAAAUUGUAAAUACGCAUAAUACACAGAUUAAAAAUAAUAAUAAUAAUA